GAUAAACGCUGGCGGCGUGCCUAACACAUGCAAGUCGAACGAAGUGGCGAACGGGUGAGUAACACGUGAGUAACCUGCCUUACACAAGGGGAUAGCCUUUGGAAACGAAGAAUAAUACCCUAUAGUGUAAGAUGGACUUGCGUCUGAUUAGCUAGUUGGUGAGAUAAAAGCCCACCAAGGCGACGAUCAGUAGCCGGCUUGCGAGAGGGUACGGCCACAUUGGGACGGAGAAACGGCCCAAACGCCUACGUGAGGCAGCAGUGGGGAGUUUUGCAAAAUGGGGGAAACCCUGAUGCAGCAACGCCGCGUGAGUGAAGAAGGUUUUCGGAUCGUAAAACUCUGUUGUUAGAGAAACGGUAUCUAACCAGAAAGCCACGGCUAACUACGUGCCAGCAGCCGCGGUAAUAC
rnacentral:rRNA from 1 species